rnacentral:rRNA from 1 species
GACGAACCGAGCGAACGUUAUUCGGAAUCACUGGGCUUAAAGGGUGCGUAGGCGGGCACGCGAGUCAGGGGUGAAAUCCCACGGCCCAACCGUGGAAGUGCCUCUGAUACCGCGAGCCUCGAGGGGGAUAGGGGCGUGCGGAACUUCCGGUGGAGCGGUGAAAUGCGUAGAUAUCGGAAGGAACACCGGUGGCGAAGGCGGCCCGCUGGACAGCGCCUGACGCUGAGACGCGAAAGCGUGGGUAGCAAACAGG